GAUGAACGCUAGCGGCAGGCCUAAUACAUGCAAGUCGAGCGGGCAUAGCAAUAUGUCAGCGGCAGACGGGUGAGUAACGCGUGGGAAUCUACCCAACCCUACGGAAUAACGCAUGGAAACGUGUGCUAAUACCGUAUACGCCCUAACGGGGAAAGAUUUAUCGGGGAUGGAUGAGCCCGCGUUGGAUUAGCUAGUUGGUGGGGUAAAGGCCUACCAAGGCGACGAUCCAUAGCUGGUCUGAGAGGAUGAUCAGCCACAUUGGGACUGAGACACGGCCCAAACUCCUACGGGAGGCAGCAGUGGGGAAUAUUGGACAAUGGGCGCAAGCCUGAUCCAGCCAUGCCGCGUGAGUGAUGAAGGCCCUAGGGUUGUAAAGCUCUUUCACCGGAGAAGAUAAUGACGGUAUCCGGAGAAGAAGCCCCGGCUAACUUCGUGCCAGCCGCCGCUGUAAUAC
rnacentral:rRNA from 1 species